GUCUGUCCAUGAGUGUGUGAAAGUGUCCCAUGUAUGUUUGAAUGUGCUUGCACACACGUGUGUAUAUUUGUGUGUCUGGGCAUGUGUAUGUGUGUAAGUGCAUGUGUGUUUGUGUGUGACAGUAGUUGUCUCUGUGGGGUCCUGUGUAAUGUUUAUUUCCUGCAGCUUCAGUGCCUCCUGUAGCACCAUCUCCUGGCCUCUCACCGUGUGCACUAAAGUCAGUGCUGCUCUCCGCAGGUCUGGUUGCCAUGGUUUCGGCUGUCAUCGCAGUUCAUGUCAGAGAGAGGUGCUGCAGAGAGAAAUGAGGACUGAGGACGGAGGGUGAAUCUGAUAUUUGGUAUCUGAGUGUGUGUUUGAUUAGAUUAGAUUACAUUAGAUUUGUAUUAAAAUUGAGUAAAUGGGAACUCCCACCCUGCCACAUUAUCUGGUUUGCAAAACUGCAAGCCAAAAUUCAUUUAAAUAUAUACAAUAGUCCUGGCAAUGCUGUACAGUACAUAUUUUAUAUGAUAUUUUAUAUCUUACUGUUUGAUCUUAACGGUGUUCCUUACAAUGUUUUUUUAUUUCUUGCUGUUACAGUAUGUUUUUUUAUGUCAGUGAGCUUGAUUUUGUUUGUGUUUUUGGAUUUGUAUGUAUUUUUAUAAGGCCUAUAAAAAUACAUACAAUCUAUAUAAUCAGACUUUUUCAUAAUGUAUUAAAAGAUACAAUUUAUACAUCUUGAAUGCUUACGCUAACAAAAUAUAGAAUUUCUCUUUGUCUGAUGAAAAUAAAAGUGACAAUUAACUGAGUUUGCAUAUGAGGUCCAUAAGGUCAUUCUCAGCUCUGUAAUUCUGCCAUGAUGUCUUUGCACAGAAACUAAAAUGGAAACAGAAAGAGGUUGGCAGCCACACCACCAUCUCUGCAGCCUGUAGCUUCUGCAUACACUUCCUGUUUGAAGCUGGUGGGAAUAAAAAAGGGAACUAUACUCACACACAGCACACACACACACACACACACACGCACACGCACACGCACACACACACACACACACACACACACACACUAAACCUCUGCAGAGAAAGCCACACAGAUCUCUCUCUCAGACUGAAAAUGAUUGGUCCUGUUGGUGCCCACAGUGCUGAUCUCAGGUACAGUGUACUUUCCACGGUGGACACAUUGUUUUACGUUCCACGUUGUUGUGACUUGUGUUCCCUCUGUUUUUCCCUCCGUUAUUUCUCUGCAGGUGGCCAAUCACAAUUCCAUUCGCACAAAUCCACAAUCCCACCUGUCAAUCAUCAUUAUCCUGGUCCCUCCCCUACCAAUCACAUCCCUCCUCUGCUAGAUAAAAGCUGUGUGUUUGCUGCCACUCUCAUCUCACCCAUCCAAUUCAGCUACAACUUGUGUAUGUGUGCACAGAAACCCAGAAAAGUCAUUCCCCUAUUGGUGUGUAUGUGUGGUUGUUUGUGUAUUGUCCAGGCCCUGGGGCAGGUAAGACAGGUAAGAUAGAGGCAGCUUGUAGUGUAGUGCUUCAGGUGAAUGACUGGGACACGCAAGGUUGGUGGUUCUGUAGCCACAAUAAGAUCCGCACAGCCGUUGGGCCGUUGAGCAAGGCCCUUAUCCCUGCAUUGCUCCAGGGGAGGAUUGUCUCCUGCUUAGUCUAAUCAACUGUACAUCGCUCUGGAUAAGAGCAUCCGCCAAAUGCCAAUAAUGUAAUGUAAUGUAAAGAUAGAGGCCUCUAUACAUUGUGGCUGCACGUGGGUGGAAUUACUGUAUUAGACACAUUAGGAAAGGGGUGGUUGCCAACUGUCUAAUUUAUGUUUUGUUAGAGUAGUAAGAUUGGCUGACUGACUUAUUAAGCAACAAACAAAAGCCUAUCUUUGGCUCUAGCUUGGUUUGGUUUUGUUUGUUUCAUUUAUUUGGCAACAUCUGUGUCCCUUGGCCUCGUGACCUAAAUGUGUUCUUUGUUCUGUAAAUAGAUUUGUACUUAUUGCACUUCUCUGUAAUAUACACCUUUCUGCACUUUAA